GGGGGGGGGGGGGGGGGGGCCUGACGCACGCGGGGCGGGCGGGUGGAGGGGGCUUGCUCCUGGAUUCAGCGGCGGACGGGUGAGUAAUGCCUAGGAAUCUGCCUGGUAGUGGGGGAUAACGUCCGGAAACGGGCGCUAAUACCGCAUACGUCCUGAGGGAGAAAGUGGGGGAUCUUCGGACCUCACGCUAUCAGAUGAGCCUAGGUCGGAUUAGCUAGUUGGUGGGGUAAAGGCCUACCAAGGCGACGAUCCGUAACUGGUCUGAGAGGAUGAUCAGUCACACUGGAACUGAGACACGGUCCAGACUCCUACGGGAGGCAGCAGUGGGGAAUAUUGGACAAUGGGCGAAAGCCUGAUCCAGCCAUGCCGCGUGUGUGAAGAAGGUCUUCGGAUUGUAAAGCACUUUAAGUUGGGAGGAAGGGCAGUAAGUUAAUACCUUGCUGUUUUGACGUUACCAACAGAAUAAGCACCGGCUAACUUCGUG
rnacentral:rRNA from 1 species